rnacentral:rRNA from 1 species
GACGAACGCUGGCGGCGCGCUUAACACAUGCAAGUCGAACGGAAAGGCCUGCUUUCCCUUGUGGAUUGCGGGUACUCGAGUGGCGAACGGGUGAGUAACACGUGAGUGAUCUGCCCCCAACUUGGGUAUAAGCCUGGGAAACUGGGUCUAAUUCCCGAUAGGACUGCAGGGUGGUGCCUGUGGUGGAAAACGAUUUUCUAGUGGUUGGGGUUGAGCCCGCGGCCUAUCAGCUUGUUGGUGGGGUAAUGGCCUACCAAGGCGGCGACGGGUAGCCGGCCUGAGAGGGUGGACGGCCACAUUGGGACUGAGAUACGGCCCAGACUCCUACGGGAGGCAGCAGUGGGGAAUAUGGCACAAUGGGCGGAAGCCUGAUGCAGCGACGCCGCGUGGGGGAUGACGGCCUUCGGGUUGUAAACUCCUUUCGACCGCGAGGAAGCCACCUGGUUGGAAGGGUGGUGACGGUAGUGGUAGAAGAAGCACCGGCUAACUACGUG